CUCGUCCUACGGGGGGCAGCAGUAGGGAAUUUUCGUCAAUGGGCGCAAGCCUGAACGAGCAAUGCCGCGUGAACGAGGAAGGUCUUCGGAUCGUAAAGUUCUGUUGAAGGGGAAAAAGAGCGGAGAGAGGAAAUGGUCUCCGAUUGAUAUUACCCUUCGAGGAAGUCACGGCUAACUACGUGCCAGCAGCCGCGGUAAUACGUAGGUGGCGAGCGUUAUCCGGAAUGAUUGGGCGUAAAGGGUGCGUAGGCGGCCUGCUAAGUCUGGAGUGAAAUGCCGGGGCUCAACCCCGGAACUGCUUUGGG
rnacentral:rRNA from 1 species